rnacentral:snRNA from 1 species
GUGUUCGCUUCGGCAGCACAUGCACUAAAAUUGGAACGAUACAGAGAAGAUUAGCAUGGAUGGAAACCCUGGUAGCAUAGUGGCUAAGAGCUACAGCUGCUAACCAAAAGGUCAGCGGUUCGAAUCCACCAGGAGCUCCUUGGAAACCGUAUGGGGCAGUUCUACUCUGUCCUAUACGGUCGCUAUGAGUUGGAAUAGACUCGACGGCAACGGGUUUGGUUUGGGUUUUGGUUUGUGCAAGGAUGACACGCAAAUUCGUGAAGUGUUGCAUGUUUUU